rnacentral:rRNA from 1 species
ACCUACGGGGCGCAGCAGUAGGGAAUUUUCGUCAAUGGGCGCAAGCCUGAACGAGCAAUGCCGCGUGAACGAGGAAGGUCUUCGGAUCGUAAAGUUCUGUUGAAGGGGAAAAAGAGCGGAGAGAGGAAAUGCUUUCUGAUUGAUAUUACCCUUCGAGGAAGUCACGGCUAACUACGUGCCAGCAGCCGCGGUAAUACGUAGGUGGCGAGCGUUAUCCGGAUUGAUUGGGCGUAAAGGGUGCGUAGGCGGCCUGCUAAGUCUGGAGUGAAAGGUACCGGCUCAACCGGUACAGGCUCUGGAAACUG